GCUGAGGCCACUGGCCGACAGCCUUGGCUGAGCUCCCAGGCAUCAAUGAGCGCCAACUUGCCAGCCAUGUGAGCGAGCCUUCCUGGGACUGGAGCUGCCUCAGUUUACGCAACGUGGAGCAGAGACAAGUUGUCCCUGCCCAAAUGGCGAAACCAGAUUGCUUUGAGAAUCGUCUUAAGAACCAGGGACUAAUCCUAUCUCUCUCUUUACCUGAAAGUGACAUAUCCCUGUGUCUGCAGCAUUCCAGGCCACAAGGUGAGGCUCGUCCACUGGGCUGGAACUCCAGGGGAGCCCGAGUGCCUGGGGUCCCUGGCUACAUUUUGGGACUUGUUGGUGCCCAACUGACCAAGAGCUUGAAAGCAAAUGCAUCCUAGCUGACAAAGAAAUAAAAAAAUCGCCUUUCUUCUGGUCCUUGUGUUCUCUUCCUUCCCUGACUGAAGACAUUGGGUACUAAAGCUUCAGGAGGGUAGAAGAAAGGUGGUAACAGGCUCAGAAACCUGGAAAUGCUGCAGCUGAUAUUCAAGAACAAGCUGUUGUGUGCAAGCACACCAGAUGUCCCCACAUCAGAAAACGGAUGUCACAAAUCCAAGAAGAGCUGUGGCAGGAAAGAGCCAAUUGACAAGAUUUUUUCUUCUUUUUUCUAAUUAGCUGUAAUUUUCUGAUUAAUAGUAAAAAAAUCAACACAGAAAGGGAUCAUACAUCUAAAGUAUCCAUAAUUACACCUAACAGAUUAUCAUUUAAAAUUUUGGAGUAUGUCCUUUGGAUAUUUUCUUUAUCUUUGCAGAGUUUCUGCUUAUAACAUGCCUUCCAUGAUCUUUUUCAAAUAAUAAACUAUUACAAACAGUUUUAUUAUGUAAGACCAAACAGGUUAAUAUCACCUUCUCGCUCUGUCUGUCUUU